UACGUAGGGGGCAAGCGUUGUCCGGAAUCAUUGGGCGUAAAGAGCGUGUAGGCGGCCAGAAAAGUCCGCUGUGAAAACUCGAGGCUCAACUUCGAGCUGUCGGUGGAAACUUUCUGGCUAGAGUCCGGAAGAGGAGAAUGGAAUUCCUGGUGUAGCGGUGAAAUGCGCAGAUAUCAGGAAGAACACCCGUGGCGAAGGCGGUUCUCUGGGACGGUACUGACGCUGAGACGGCGAAAGCGUGGGGAGCGAACAGG
rnacentral:rRNA from 1 species